rnacentral:rRNA from 1 species
UACGAAGGGGGCUAGCGUUGCUCGGAAUCACUGGGCGGUAAAGCGCACGUAGGCGGAUUGUUAAGUCAGGGGUGAAAUCCUGGAGCUCAACUCCAGAACUGCCUUUGAUACUGGCGAUCUUGAGUCCGGGAGAGGUGAGUGGAACUGCGAGUGUAGAGGUGAAAUUCGUAGAUAUUCGCAAGAACACCAGUGGCGAAGGCGGCUCACUGGCCCGGUACUGACGCUGAGGUGCGAAAGCGUGGGGAGCAAACAGG